UGCGUAGGCGGGUUUUUAAGUCAGGGUGAAAUCCUGGAGCUCAACUCCAGAACUGCCUUUGAUACUGAAGAUCUUGAGUCCGGGAGAGGUGAGUGGAACUGCGAGUGUAGAGGUGAAAUUCGUAGAUAUUCGCAAGAACACCAGUGGCGAAGGCGGCUCACUGGCCCGGUACUGACGCUGAGGCACGAAAGCGUGGGGAGCAAACA
rnacentral:rRNA from 1 species